rnacentral:tRNA from 1 species
GGUUGUGGCUCAGUGGUAGAGUGCUUGUGUAGCACGUGUGAGGCACUGGGUUCGAUCCUCAGCGCCA